rnacentral:rRNA from 1 species
UACGGAGGGUGCAAGCGUUGCUCGGAUUUAUUGGGCGUAAAGGGUAGGUAGGUGGUCUUAUUUGCCUAGGGUGAAAUCCUUGAGCUUAACUCAAGAAGUGCCCUAGAAACGGUAAGACUAGAGUCCUGGAGAGGGUCGUGGAAUUCCCGGUGUAGCGGUGAAAUUCGUAGAUAUCGGGAGGAACACCAGUGGCGAAGGCGGCGAUCUGGGAAGAUACUGACGCUGAGGUGCGAAAGCGUGGGGAGCAAACAGG